CACGUAGGGACCAAGCGUUGUCCGGAUUUAUUGGGCGUAAAGAGCUCGUAGGCGGUUCGGUAAGUCGGGUGUGAAAACUCUGGGCUCAACUCGGAGAGGCCACCCGAUACUGCCGUGACUUGAGUCCGGUAGGGGAGCACGGAAUUCCUGGUGUAGCGGUGAAAUGCGCAGAUAUCAGGAGGAACACCGGUGGCGAAGGCGGGUCUCUGGGCCGAUACUGACGCUGAGGAGCGAAAGCGUGGGGAGCGAACAGG
rnacentral:rRNA from 1 species